rnacentral:rRNA from 1 species
UACGUAGGUGGCAAGCGUUGUUCGGAAUUAUUGGGCGUAAAGGGCGCGUAGGCGGUUCGUUAAGUCGGUUGUGAAAGCCCGGAGCUCAACUCCGGAGAGUCGACCGAUACUGGCGAGCUAGAGUACGGAAGAGGUAGCUGGGAUUCCCGGUGUAGCGGUGAAAUGCGUAGAUAUCGGGAGGAACACCAGAGGCGAAGGCGGGCUACUGGGCCGAUACUGACGCUGAUGCGCGAAAGCCAGGGGAGCAAACGGG